GGGUCCUGGCUCAGGGGGAACGCUAGCGGKGGCGCCUAACACAUGCAAGUCGAGCGGUAUUAAUAUUAUUGAUCUUUUCGGRGAGAAACAAUAUUGAGAGAGCGGCGAACGGGUGAGUAACACGUUGGKAUCURCCCCUAGGKCAGGGAUAGCCCACUGAAAAGUGGRGURAUACCGGRUAGUCUCUUCGGRGUAAAAAUUUAUUGUCUAGGGRGGAACCUGCGUUCUAUCAGGUUGUUGGUAAGGUAAAAGCUUACCAAGGSGUAUGACGGAUAACUGGUCUGAGRGGAUGAUCAGUCACAAUGGAACUGRGACACGGUCCAUACUBCUACGGGRGGCAGCAGUGAGGGAUCUUYCACAAUGGGCGRAAGCUGGAUGGAGCGACACCGCGUGAAGGAUGAAGGUCUAACGAUUGUAAACUKCUUUUCUGAGGGAGCAUAAUGAGAGUACCUUAGGGAUAAGGGACGGCUAAUUACGUGCCAGCAGCCGCGGUAAUACGKAAGUCCCAAGSGUUACCCGGAAUUAUUGGGUGUAAAGCGUUUGUAGGCUGUUUUAUAAGUUGGGUAUGAAAGACCSGRGCUCARCUCCGUGUUUGUAUUCAAAACUGUAAAACUAGRAUCAGGGGGAGGUAAGCGGAAUUCUUAGUGUAGGGGUGCAAYCCGUAGAUACUAAGAAGAACMCCAAAAACGAAGGCAGCUUACUGGAMCUGUAUUGACGCUCAGAAACGRAAGCGUGGGUAGCGAAAAGGAUUAGAUACCCUUGUAGUCCACGCCCUAAACGAUGAUAACUAAGUGUUYCCGCUAGACGVAAGUSCUGAAACUAACSCGAUAAGUUAUCCACCUGAGGAGUACGGUCGCAAGAUUAAAACUCAAAGGAAUAGACGGGGMCCCACACAAGCAGUGGAUCCCGUGGUUUAAYUCGACAAUAAACGGGAAACCUUACCCAGACUUGACMYCUAUCGAAUUCUGCAGAAAUGCAGGAGUSCCYYUAUUGGAGCGAUAAGACAGGUSCUGCAUGGUUGUCGUCAGCUCGUGCCUUGAGGUGUUCGGUUAAGUCCGUUAACGAGCGUAACCCAUGUYCUUAGUUAUUAUGUCUAARAAAACUSCCUUGGUUAACAAGRAGGAAGGUGUGGAUGMCGUCAAAUCAGCAUGGCUUUUACGUUUGGGGCUACMCACAUGAUACAAUGGUCUGUACAAARAGUACCAACACUGGUAACAUUGAGCUAAUCUUUAAAGCAGHYCUCAGUCCGGAUUGAGGUCUGAAACUCGACCUCAUUGAAGUUGGAMUUGCUAGUAAUCGUGAAYCAGAUAUGUCACGGUGAAUAUCGUUCCUGGGUCUUGUACUCACCGCCCGYCAUGGCAUGGAAGGUAGUAAUAUCGASAAGUCCCUCUAGUAAUAUGGGGGCCCAUGGUAGGACUACUGACUGGGCUAAAGUCGUAMCAAGGUAGCCG
rnacentral:rRNA from 1 species